rnacentral:lncRNA from 1 species
GCAACAGACAAAAUCCCACGAGAAUAACAAAUAUAACCUCAAAACUAAAUACAUGAAUUUGGGAUAGACAAGUACCGUGACACGUCUUAUAGCAAUGUGAAUUUACUCAAAAAUAAGAGAAAACAAACGACGCAACGUUAAAAUGUAACACACACAGAAACGAACUAUAAUAUAACAAUGGCCAUAUUCCUGACUUGGUACAGGACAUUUUUAAAGAAAAAAAUGGCGGGUUGAACCUGGUUUUGUGGCAUGCUAAACCUCCCCUUUAAUAGCCAUGUGAAAUAUAACAUUAAGAUGACAACUCAACACCACAGGACUACAAUAUAAAUAAAUUGGAGAAUACAAUUGACAAAGAAACACACGAAC